GAGGUCAUAACAGAAGUUUAUGCAAAAUUCUAUAGCUUACAAUUAGGGGAAGCACUAUGGAAACAUCUAGAUAAAUGUGAGAAGAUCAAGAAUAUUAGAAGGACAGCAGGACCCUCUCCCAGGACAGCACCAGGUCUUGUAAACCGUUGACCACGAUGUAGAGGACCACGAUGUAAAGGACCAGGGAAAAGGAGAAGACAUCUCCAAGACUGAGCAUUUACCCAGAAAGAAUGAGUCACCAGUUCCUGACAAGAUGGCAAACUAGCAUAAGCUGCUAGCUUCCUCGCCCAAAAUUAAUGUUGGAGAGUCUACAGCAGAGAAAAUAAGUCAUGUAUCUGAGGCUCUAAACAUAAAACUGUGAGAAAUCCCUGGGAGACAGAAGGCUCCUGACAACUGAGAAUAGUUGUGUGUGUGAAAGGGACAGGCCCCGAGAGUGGACAACCUGGGGCAAACUGAUGGAAUCACCGCAGAGAGAGACUAAUAGCUCUGUGUCGGAGCUUCUGGAAAGAAGCAGAAGGCCAAUGGCAGAGCCUCUGCCCUGGCCUGGAAUCCUGAGCUGCUGGACCUUGAACCCUGCCCGCCUCACGGUGGUGGAGACGGAGGCCGCCUGAGGCUGAGGGCCCGGGCUGCCAGGGCCGGGGGGAGGGCGGGCAGCCCCUGGAGGGUGCUUUCCGAUAAAAAGUCAGCGGGCCAGAGAGAUGGGCGGGAGGGACUCCUUCCUUCCCAGACACCCCCACGUCUGCCUGGCCAGACAGAUGGGCCUUCCUCUGGGCUUUAUAGAUUAAUGCGUCCUUCUUAUCAAUUAUGGAGACAAGAAAGUGUAAUUUUCUCCCCAUGUUUAUACUGUUCAGGAUUAAUCUGCCUGUAAAUGGAUAAUCUGUCAGCUU